CCUACGGGAGGCAGCAGUGGGGAAUAUUGCACAAUGGGGGAAACCCUGAUGCAGCGACGCCGCGUGAGUGAAGAAGUAUUUCGGUAUGUAAAGCUCUAUUAGUAGGGAAGAAAAUGACGGUACCUGAUUAAGAAGCCCCGGCCAACUACGUGCCAGCAGCCGCGGUAUUACGUAGGGGGCGAGCGUUAUCCGGAUUUACUGGGGGAAAGGGGAGCGUAGACGGUUGGUCAAGUCUGGUGUGAAAUGCCGGGGCUUAACCCCGGAGCGGCUUUGGAAACUGUGCAGCUAGAGUGCAGGAGAGGUAAGUGGAAUUCCAGGUGUAGCGGUGAAAUGCGUAGAUAUUAGGAGGAACACCAGUGGCGAAGGCGACUUACUGGACUGUAACUGACGUUGAGGCUCGAAAGCGUGGGGAGCAAACAGGAUUAGAUACCCGAGUAGUC
rnacentral:rRNA from 1 species